rnacentral:rRNA from 1 species
UACGUAGGGUGCAAGCGUUGUCCGGAAUUAUUGGGCGUAAAGCGCGUGUAGGCGGCCAUCUAAGUCGGGCGUGAAAUCCCACGGCUCAACCGUGGAAGUGCACUCGAAACUGGAUGGCUAGAGUCCUGGAGAGGAAGGUGGAAUGCUUGGUGUAGAGGUGAAAUUCGUAGAUAUCAAGCGGAACACCGGUGGCGAAGGCGGCCUUCUGGACAGUGACUGACGCUGAGACGCGAAAGCGUGGGGAGCAAACAGG